GGGAGUGCUGGACCGUGGUUAUCCGUCUUGCCCUGUAGCCCGGGGUUCCAAGGUAAUGUACGUGUGUGCUUUUUCUAUAAAAGUUAAUCAAAUAGAGCAACAGCAAUGAGAAAACAAUCUGUGGUUGUAUUUGAUUAACAUUUAUUGAAAAAGUAUCGAUUUCAGCAAACAAAAAAGGCACUACAGAGAACAAACAUAGGUACAACGUGGGCGUUUCAUAAUUUACAUUUUCUGAAGAAUUGACCUUUGGGCAAAUCGAUGUAGUCAUGGCUAGACAGUCAUGGCUAGACUCCACAAAUCCUGUUCUGGGUUCAACGUCGUUGGUGAAAUUCAUCAUACAUUUCCUACACCUUGGAGUGAAGUUUAGCCCUAUAAUCCUCCACGGACAUGGAAUCUUCUAUCUUGGAUGGAAGGAAGGAGAAACUACAAAGGGCAGAAGUUAUCCAGCCUGCUGAAUAAGAAAUGGAAAAAUACCUGUUUUUACCUCUCUCUCUCUCUCUCUCUCUCUCUCUCUCUCUCUCGCUCUCUCGCUCUCUCGCUCUCUCGCUCUCUCUCUCUCUCUCUCUCCCUCUCUCUCUCUCUCUCGCGCUCUCUCGCUCUCUCGCUCUCUCUCUCUCUCUCUCGCUCUCUCGCUCUCCUCUGACUGCCAGAUUGAUGGGUGGCAACAUACUGUAGUUAAUGUACUUGCUGGGCUAAGUCUAACUUAGUGAAGACCUUAGGUAAUGGUUAAUCAUGAUAUGUCUCUGUCUUUACAGUUCCUUACACAUGUCAAUGACCUGAUGCAUGGCCUCUACAUCAGUGCUUGGCCACACACUCAGUUACCAGUGACCUAUUCUGCCACAUCCCAGAUCUGACCCCUCCCACUCUUCAAGAUGGCCACUACGCUCCGGGAUCGCCCCCUCUGUGUUCAGAGGUCCUUGAUGAGGAUCUGACCCCUCCCACUCUUCAAGAUGGCCACUACGCUCCGGGAUCGCCCCCUCUGUGUUCAGAGGUCCUUGAUGAGGAUCUGACCCCUCCCACUCUUCAAGAUGGCCACUACGCUCCGGGAUCGCCCCCUCUGUGUUCAGAGGUCCUUGAUGAAGAUCUGACCCCUCCCACUCUUCAAGAUGGCCACUACGCUCCGGGAUCGCCCCCUCUGUGUUCAGAGGUCCUUGAUGAGGAUCUGACCCCUCCCACUCUUCAAGAUGGCCACUACGCUCCGGGAUCGCCCCCUCUGUGUUCAGAGGUCCUUGAUGAGGAUCUGACCCCUCCCACUCUUCAAGAUGGCCACUACGCUCCGGGAUCGCCCCCUCUGUGUUCAGAGGUCCUUGAUGAGGAUCUGACCCCUCCCACUCUUCAAGAUGGCCACUACGCUCCGGGAUCGCCCCCUCUGUGUUCAGAGGUCCUUGAUGAGGAUCUGACCCCUCCCACUCUUCAAGAUGGCCACUACGCUCCGGGAUCGCCCCCUCUGUGUUCAGAGGUCCUUGAUGAGGAUCUGACCCCUCCCACUCUUCAAGAUGGCCACUACGCUCCGGGAUCGCCCCCUCUGUGUUCAGAGGUCCUUGAUGAGGAUCUGACCCCUCCCACUCUUCAAGAUGGCCACUACGCUCCGGGAUCGCCCCCUCUGUGUUCAGAGGUCCUUGAUGAGGAUCUGACCCCUCCCACUCUUCAAGAUGGCCACUACGCUCCGGGAUCGCCCCCUCUGUGUUCAGAGGUCCUUGAUGAGGAUCUGACCCCUCCCACUCUUCAAGAUGGCCACUACGCUCCGGGAUCGCCCCCUCUGUGUUCAGAGGUCCUUGAUGAGGAUCUGACCCCUCCCACGACUCUUUUUAAUCAUUAAUCAAAUAAAAUAAAUCUGCCUGUAUUUGUUCUGUGUCCCAGUCUUUCUGUGUCUGUGGGUGAAUUAUGGUAUAAUUACUGUAUAAUCAGAUAUGCAAAAAAAGUGUGAUGUAGAUAUGUUUGUGUCAUUGCUUGAUCUAUUUUAAAUGUAAGACGUAUU